rnacentral:tRNA from 1 species
GAGAAGAUGGCUGAGAGGUUAAAAGCAAUAAACUGUAAAUUUAUCUUUCAUUGGAAAUUCAUAGGUUCGAAUCCUAUUCUUCUCC